AUUGUCCUGCAUGGUUCGAGAGGCACUGAUUUCUUGGCCCAACACUUUUAUUGGACGGGAAUCUAACAUGACGGGAACGCGAAGCUCUUCAUUUGAAGGGUAAGCUGAACCGAGCUCGAGGUGCCCACCUGUUUAGACAGGGUCCAUAAAGAUGUGCUUCACGGCCAUUGCGGGACAUUU
rnacentral:other from 2 species